UUAGGCCUGUCUUCGCAAACGUGUUUUGUAAAGAACCUGUUUCUAGCCUAGCUGACUUCGUGGGUUGUCAAAGUGCUUGAACUGAAUGAACGCUUCUUCGGAUCAGAGAAAUCGCUUUUGUUGGAGGCCGAAAGGGGAACGCACUGAUAGAGCGUGGGGACAGCAUGGGGAUUGCGCUGGUUCUGGAAGGAGGGAUGCGGAGAGAAGGGAGGCACAGGCUGGUUUCCAUUGCUGAAAGAUGCUGCAGACCAGGGGUGUGAUAGUGCAGAGCAUUGGGUCAUCACUGUGCAAGCACAUUCUUGGCUCUGUGAGCAUAAGCAUAGAUUGCCAUCCGUGUGCUCUUUCACAUUGUUUGCGGGAAGAUGACGGGAAAAGAAUUGCUCCCUCUGCAAAUAAAUUGUAACAUGCCUAUCCAACAUACUGAAAAAAGAGCUGAGCUUAGACAGCACAGCAGUAGAAAAAGAAAACAGGAUGGGUGCAUAAAAAUGUGCCUUUUCCAAACACUUUAUAUCUAGCCAAAAGCUGCAGGCUGUUACAACAUCAUCUUGGUAGAGGUAAUAAAGUUUGGAGCAGAAAGCAAACUCUUCCUACCCUUGCAAAUGCUAAACAGUUGGAGGAAAAUUGUGAAAAUAGUGGUAAAGGGCUGAGCGUGUGCCAUGUCGAUUAACAUUUAUAUAAGCAAAGACAGUUCGGAAUACAUAUUGGCUAUCAUUUAAUCUUAGUUAAUUACAGUAGAAUGGGAGAAAAGUGGAGAUGUAUAAAAUCUGGACCCUACAGAUGUAUGUCAUACUGGCAGUUUUAUUCUGAUAAGGUAUCCAGAUGGAGGGUCGAUACCUGUUUCCUUGUGAUUUUGCUUUUUACAGUCAUUUUGAACCCACUAUGACUUUUCUGUGCCUGAACAGACCGAAACGAAAGGCAACCUGAAACCACCAGCUGCUUUCUCUCUAUAAUACUUAGAAGGGCUUUUACCCUUUCGGGACUGUUUCUGGUUGUAGCUGUAUACUGACUGCCUUCCUUCCCCACCUCUUCCUCAGACUGGGUCAUCCAUGUCACCCAAGGUGGGGGAAGGAAAGGCAGGCAUGUCACCCCUGCCUCCCUCAUGUUUCCCCAGCUUUCCUCUCCUCUGGUGUACAGGCUUGCCUGCGUGCUGACUGCUACUUGCUGUAUCUAGUAAGCCUGCUUUGCUGUCAACAGGAUAAAUGCUGUAGGACCUUGAACUGGUGGGGAAGGGGUCCUGGGCUAUUUCAGCAUCAAAGUCUAAUCUAGUACUAUCACUGUGUAGAUGACUGUGUGUAUAUGCAGUUAUUGCCGUUUGCAUUUUGUUAACCUAUUCAAAUGUAAAAGGCUGAACUGGGAUAGCUCAUGUCUGGCAAGUGUCUUUAUUCAUAGUUGGGUCUUACUGGUGCAGUGCAAAUAAGCUUAUUCUGUAAAUUCCUCAUCAGAGCCAGGAAGCAACGCAGUUUUUCCUCCUGGCACCCUAUCUGUGUAGAAGAAGAAGAGGAAUUAUCUUAACGGCAGAGUACAUUCAGAAGUUGCUGAAAAAUCUGAUGUUUCUGAUAGGUUUGAGACUUGGAAUUUAAAAAGUCCAUUACUAAAAAGUCAAUAUAUUUUCACCUCUACCUCCUCCACUCUUUUGCAAGCAUUCCUCCCCGUGUCUUCAUGACUGCGGUUACCUCCUUUUCCUGGCUUGCGCAGAGGAAAUCCUGUUAUGACAUAGCCGAUCCAUGGCGCUGCUGCAAAGCCCACCUCUUAGCCUGUCACUUCAUCUCCCUUCUUUGUCAGUCCUUCUGCUGCUCCCCCUUCUCCCCUGCACUCGGACAUGUCAGUCGCAGGCUUCACUUUCAGGUGUCCCCAUUCGUGAUGUACCACCUCUUGUGAUGUACCACCUCUCGGGCUUUACCAAGACAUACCCCACUGGCUUUGAUUAGCCUGUGCUCUCAGCAUCUUUCUCCCUCAAGCCAUCAUCUUUGUGUUUCCCUGAGCUCCAACUUGCACUUACUUGUAGUUUCAUGCAGGCACCUUGUCCAUAAUUUCUUUAAUUUCUUUGAAAUGUCCCAGCACAUUCGCUUUUGCUGUGAUGCUUUCAGCAGCCGUCUGGUGAGAUGCUUAAGACAAAUCUUCACCACUGCUACCAUCAUCCCUGUCACUGGAAUUAUUCUGGCUCUGGAUUUGAGCACAACAGUGUCCUCUAAAGCUAGGACAUCUGAGAGGCACUUGUCAAACAGAAUCACUCCAUCUAGCACCAGCAGAAAGUCUCCUUUCAUAGUCCAUGUUAUCCUUGCUUGCUCUUUUUUGGCAUUUCAGGUGCAACCCUGCCCCCUUAUGCUUACACAGCUCAGCGUGGUUCAGUGCAACUCCCUUUGCAAUAGUGUUGUAUCUUUGCCCAAGUUGUUGCAGACUGUAUUGCAAACAGUGACUAUAUGUAAAUAUUAGGCACAGAAACACAGAUAGGAUAAUGCCAUGGUCUCUUUGUCAAGGGAUGGCGUGCAUGCAGCCUGCAUUGAUAAAAUAAUGAAUGUCACAGGAUAGAGAUCUUUGUUAUAGCAGUGAGGGGAAACAGAGAAUCAAGGGAGAAGGUUAUUUUCUUAUUUUUCUCGGUAAAGUACGCUGAGCCACUGGUAUCUGGAAGCAGAGUUAUAGUGAGUGAAGUUACUGUGAUAACACAUCUGCGUCUAAAGUUCCCUUGCACUGAAGUUCACAGUAUGUAGUUGGUACUGCAAUCUGCCUUUUUUUGCAGAGAAAAAAAUCUGAAACAGAAUGAUGCAUUAAGAGAUACAAAAUUCUGUCCUAGCUUUAUAUUGUGUCAGGGUUUCUAAGCUAAAAUGAAAUCUGCUUGACAUUUUUGGGUUUUAUAGGUACUAUAUCCUUUGUUUUUAUAAAAUACAUUGAAGCCAGUAUGUCAGCUGAAUUUUACAAUAGGAAAGUGUUUUCUUAUUAAUCAGGACUCCGCUUUCUGGGUCACAGCUUCAUUAGUUAAGGACUAAUAAGCCUAUUGACUAGCAAAGGUAAAGGCCACUUAUUGUUCAGCAGAGCCCCUUGCUGAAGUCUGCACAGAGGUCUCCUGAGAUGGGAGUGGAUGUGCCCACAUGGAGUGUGAGAGAUGCAGGCUCUCAGGUACACUCGUGUUGUGCAGCCACCUCAUCUGGCAUCGGGCAGGUUGCUGUGCUGCAGCACUGAAAGAGACAAUAGAGGCCUUAAAUCCAUUCAAUUCCAGAUUUAGCCACAUUUUGUCCUAAGACUGUAUUCCUUGUACAUGGAAGGGACUAUGCCUGAUAUUUCUGAGGGUUUUUUCCCCCCUUUACCUGGAGGGAUGCUGAAUCUGAGGGUCUGAGCCCUGCAAGUUGUUAGCCUCACAUGUGAGCAUGAUAAAAAAUGAAAGCAAGCUCUGAUAACAAGGACUGCUUGCCCUGGGGCUUGAUGUUUUAUCUGGUAGGUUUUACUCUGAGUAAACGGUGUGGAGGAGCUGAAGCACUGCCCCAUGAGACAUCUGUGUGGCUUCCAGAAGGGCAAACACAGUACACAGCCCUCCACUGCACUGGCCAUUUGGCCCCAGUUGUGGAGCCCAGCACCAGUCUGUUUGUGUCAAACAUAAAAGGUGGUUAUCAGCAGCCCAUGUUAAGAGUCAGGCAUAACGUAGCACAGUUUGAUUAGUUUUUGUUUGUUCUGAGGUUAAUUACAUCAUCGUUCCUCUCCCCUCACCCCUCAACCCCCCCUCUCCAGCUGGAUGGCACCUUCUCCUGAAAGGCUUAUCAGUGUCAGUGGGAUGCUCCGCACAGCCACUUGCGGCCUUGGCAAGGAGGGGUAGCAGGAAUGGGAUGGCUCAACCAUGAAAGGAGACAAUAAAGCAGGAACAGUUGAAAUAUUUUCAUAUACUUGUUCCGCUGAUGAAAAUGGAUUUUAAUGGAAUUUUCAUUUCUCAUUAAGCAGCCAUUCCACACUACACUAAAUUUUCUGUUCAAACAGAACUUCCAAAUCUGGGGUUGCAGGAAAUCAAACAAGAAGUCAUUACACAAAAUGCAGAAAUUAAGGAUUCCUGAUACCCGCUGGUUUCUCCCUCUUCCUUGUCUAGCCUGGCCCUGGACCUCCUUUCCAGCUGGGCACUGGGGAUCUGUUACUUUGACAGUGACAACUUAGCAGCUGUGUUUGAUGGUAGAAAUCAAUUACCAAGAUUUAAAGCUAUUAGGAGCAACCAAAUGGCUCUGUGAACCUUCAAGUCCCCUCUAUCUGAUCACCCACUGUCAUUAAACUUUAGAAACUCAAAGGUUUUUGAGAUUUCUGACUGGGUUGAAUUUGGCUGAGAGUGUCAGUAACAAAAGUUAGAGGGCCAAUGAAGGGAAUAAAGCUGGGACUGGACAUCAGGAAAUCUGACCCAUCACUAUUGUCAGUCAGGAGUUGACUGUUGAGUUUUGGGUGCUUUUUUUUUUUUCUGCAGCCUGUAAUUUUUCACAAGAAAUUUUCAAUGAAACUGGGAAAAAAUAUUUUUAGCACAUCAGCAUAAGAAGGAGACUAAUUUCCCUGGUGACUGUAUGUCUUUUGGGGUGAGAUUCAAAUUGAUGCUCCCAUGGGAGGCAGGACCAGAAGGACCCCGUUUCUCUAUCUAAGGUCCCAGAUGUACAGCAGUGAGAUUCCUUACCCCAUUCACAUCCUGAGAGAUACAGGAAACAGAUAGGUCCCUACUUCACAUAUCUUGAUGUCAAUGAGAAUGAAUACACUGUUUGGGCCAAAUCCUUCUGUGGGCUAGUGCUGCAGCUGAGACAGUGAAAACAGCUCUGAAGGGCAUUAGAGUGGUGCAAGAAGGAUGAAGGACUGUGGGAUACAACUGUGUAUGCCCAGGGGUCUUCUGAAGAUAAGCUUCUUGAUGUUCUGGUCCAAAUAUUUCUCUGUUUUUCAAAGGUAAUCAAACUGGUCCAGAUAUUUAUUCUUCAAAGGUAAUCAAAAGCUCAGACCUCCCCUUCUCACUGAGUACACUUGCCAUUUGAAUAAGAUGCCUGCAUUUAAGGAGCCUUGAGGAUGCCUUGUGUUUUGCACUUCAUCUCUGGCUUGUUCAGUGCUUUUUUCACCAUGCAGUCCCUUUAGAUUUGGCUGUGAUAACCAACCUGCGCAUUGGACAUUUGGCUUGUAUCCCCAUAUCUUCUUCCUGCUUUUCCAAAGGACAUAAUCUUAAAUUGUCCUGGCUUCAGCAGUAAAGGAUAAAUUUGUUCACUGGCUGACUUGUCAUCUCACCGUUGUGAUGGAAAAAUGCUCUCUUAAAAUAAACCCUUUUUAUUCUACUAAAACCUUUGAAUACAAGAUCUGUUGUGAUUUUUAAAACACCAACACAAUAAUGUCAGAACCCGACCCUUCAUCUGGAUUUGUAGGAAACAUGGAAAAUGGGACUUUUCUGGAGCUGUAUCCCACAUCCCUUUCAACUUCAGUGGAUUCAUCACCUGGCCGUUUAUCCAAUGUCUAUGUCUAUGUUUCUAUAUUCCUUAGUCUCUUAGCUUUUCUCCUUUUGCUAUUGAUCAUUGCACUUCAGAGGCUGAAAAACAUAAUUUCUUCCAGUUCCUCCUACCCAGAAUACAAUAGUGAUGCUGGAAGUUCAUUCACUAACUUAGAGGUUUGCAGUAUUUCUUCCCAGCGCUCUGCUCUCUCAAACCUUUCUUCAUGAAACUAAAUGAAAGGUAAUACAUGCGGAAUGGAAGAGCUCUGUCUAGUUUCUUGGGGAGGUAGUGCAUGCAACAUUUGCCUUAGAAGACUAUUAUGAAGAGAAGGUUUUUAAAGUUUCCUUAUUUUUUUUCCAUUUCCUUUUCUAGUCUUCAUUUCCCCUUUAACUAAUUUUCAUUUUGGACAAUGGAUAAUGAUACUUGAUCAUCAUUUCUUGCCUGUAAUAGCAAUGCUGUGUCUUUCUCACACAUAUAUGAUGUUCAUUAAGAGUAUUCCUGCCAAAUUGUAACACAGUUUUAACUGGAUGUGUCAUUUUUCUGCCCUAGUUGUGACGCCUUCCCUGGUUUUGUGUCAGUAAUAUGCUGACUAAUUUUCUUUCUUGUUUUUUAAUUAUAUAAGGACUUCUGAAUGAAAUCCCUAUUGCAAAAGUAUAUUAAAAAAUCUGAUUAAAUUAUAAAUAUUAUGACAA